rnacentral:piRNA from 2 species
GUGAUUCAAUUUUAAGAAGGUGUC